UACGUAGGGUGCAAGCGUUAAUCGGAAUUACUGGGAGUAAAGCGUGCGCAGGCGGCUAUGCAAGACAGAUGUGAAAUCCCCGGGCUCAACCUGGGAACUGCAUUUGUGACUGCAUGGCUAGAGUACGGUAGAGGGGGAUGGAAUUCCGCGUGUAGCAGUGAAAUGCGUAGAUAUGCGGAGGAACACCGAUGGCGAAGGCAAUCCCCUGGACCUGUACUGACGCUCAUGCACGAAAGCGUGGGGAGCAAACAGG
rnacentral:rRNA from 1 species